AGGUUUGCUAUUUAGAUAGAAUUAAUAAACUUUUGGGGCAGAUGUGUCUUGGGGUAGAACUUUAUUUCUGUUCUGAUGGAUUUAGCUGUUAAGCUGGUUGAGUGUAGGAGCAGGAUUCCCCUUAUAAUCAGUAAAUUGAAUUCAUCCAAUUAAGUGUUAAUUGGGCAAGUAAUUUGGUAUCGUAGGGUCCCUCUCACAGAAAGAAGCUAAAAUAAGACGCUGCCCAUCUUACGGGAAUUUUUCAGAGGAGGAAAUAAAAUAACAGGUAGGAAAAUACUUUUUAAAAGUAUAUGUUUUAUUCAGAUGCACAUUGGUAGAAACAGCUUUAUCAUUC
rnacentral:lncRNA from 1 species